GGACACCAACUGCCGCGGAGCUACUUUGAUUCUAAUGCAUUUUUCACUAAAACGGCAGCGAGUACAGUCUCUGGUCAGCCGUGUACAAUAACGUCAGCCGCUGGCGUUAACAUGGAAACGUGCCUUUUUCGACAAGUUCUAAAUGCUGAUAACUUCAGGUUAUGUUUUCAUUACCUCAAGUUAGUAUGAUAAACAUUUAAUUUGCUCAGUGGAUGACCAAAGCACACCUGAAUACACUUAAAAGAAAUUGCCCAACAGGGAGUAACUCCGACCUGAGGUCAGUUCAGCUAGCACACCAGAACAAGCGUCCGGCUAAACCCAAUGUUUGAGUCCUUGCAUAGGACCUGAAAGGUUAUUUUCCCCGCUACAGUGCUGCAGGACCUGCCCAAGUGCUCUCUCCACCCACCUCCACUCCUGGCUGUUUGGGUCAAGAGUGAAGCCACUGACCUAGGAUAAACAGAAACCUGGUGAACCUGUGAGCAUGCGCAGAACGCAGUUACCUGAUAAGGCUACAACCAAAGGCCCCGGCCAGGAACUGGUUGCUUGGUUACCUUUUGAAAACAGACACGCAGAUCCAGGGAGUGUACUUGUGUCUGUAUGUGUGUGCUCCGGUUGCUCUAGAAAGCUACCCUCCCCCUUACUUGCAUGUAUGUAUUAGGUCCUCUUUUACAGCAGAAAAAAAUCCCUGUUAUUUUGCACAAUAGCUGUUGCAGAUGUAUUGCAUAUGUUCAUACAACUCUCGUUAGGGGAGCAACAAUUGUCACAGCUGUGUGUGUAAUGUACUAAGGCAUUGGGGCCUGUGAAUAAAUUGUUCCAACCCCACGCA